rnacentral:rRNA from 1 species
UAAGGAAUAUUGGUCAAUGGAGGCAACUCUGAACCAGCCAUGCCGCGUGCAGGAAGACAGCCCUCUGGGUCGUAAACUGCUUUUAUCUGGGAAUAAACCUACUUACGUGUAAGUAGCUGAAUGUACCAGAAGAAUAAGGAUCGGCUAACUCCGUGCCAGCAGCCGCGGUAAUACGGAGGAUCCAAGCGUUAUCCGGAUUUAUUGGGUUUAAAGGGUGCGUAGGCGGCCUGUUAAGUCAGGGGUGAAAGACGGUAGCUCAACUAUCGCAGUGCCUUUGAUACUGACAGGCUUGAAUGAACUAGAGGUAGGCGGAAUGUGACAAGUAGCGGUGAAAUGCAUAGAUAUGUCACAGAACACCGAUUGCGAAGGCAGCUUACUAUGGUUUUAUUGACGCUGAGGCACGAAAGCGUGGGGAUCAAACAGG